rnacentral:lncRNA from 1 species
CUUCGAAUAAAGAUGUAUUAUUUAUAUGUAUUUUCACCUAAUGUAUUUUCAUAGCUAGUUUUAAAUAGCUUUUAAUUACUAGGUAUACUACAGAGGUUACUAUUGAUAUUAUUUUUACAUGUAUUGUGCACCAUGUUCAAAAUUACGUUAAACGUGAAUCGGGAGAUUGGGUUAGAUGUAACGAAGUAAAAAUUGGAGAUUUCUGUUUUUUUUUUGUCAACCAUAUUUCAUUAGUACUAAAACAUCCAAGUUAUUACAUAGUUUUUAUUAUCAACUCUGUCUUGCUUUGCUAAAGUAUCAACAUAACUUAGACAUUCUCUAGAUACAUAAUAAAAAGUAUAAGCACAUUCUUUCGAACACUCUAUCAC